UUUCUUUUAGAAUGUAAUAAAUGCUUAAAGAAGAAUUAUACUGUGAGUAGAACAGCAUGCAGCCUGGCACUUAGCAAGUGAUCGAGAAAUAAUUCAUGAGUGAAUGAAUGAACAGAUGACAGAUGUAACCAAAAAUCAAAACUAAAAUCACUUCUGAAGUCGAGGAUGCACUUCUCGGCAUUUUUCUCAUCUGGAUUUAACAUAGAUCUGUUCUCACACAAACAUCUGUGGAAUGAGCCUGGACAUUGCUACGGAGGGCUGGUUAGAGGAGGAGGAAAGAAAGAAUAAUGGCUAAUCAUUAAGUUGCAGUGUGGGUGUUUGGUUGGGAAGAACCAGCUGGCGGAGGAAUGGAUACUACCUCUGACUCAGAGACAUGGGCAGUGACCCCUAUUGUCUGGCCAAGAAGGAGUCACAUGUCUUUGGUGACUUCUUUGUUUACACUCAGAGUUUAACUAUGAGGCAGAAAUGGUUUCUUUGCCAAAGUCUACAUUUGAUGAAACAUGGCUAAUUUUAAUUUUAGAGCUGAGCUUGGACCUUUCUUCUAGUCAUUGCUCCAAAGUGGUGCUUACGGGAAAGGAGAGUAUUCUUCAUGAUCAGCUCUGUCUUACAUUCAAGUGCAGUCAGGCACGGAGGGACUAGAGCAUCGGCCCUAGGCCACAGCUGGAAAGUCCUCUGCGUUGCUCAACAGGGGUCACAAAGCAAACUGAGAUCAUACGUGGGCAAAGGAAAAAAGAGAAGGCAAAACAUUCAAAAUCUCAAACAUUUGAAACCAGAUUUCAGUUGAAAUAUAUAAGUUAAUCAGUAUCAAGCAAAAAUGUCAGUCCCCAGAAAGCCAGUCUCUCCUUCACAUUUAUGUAAAUACAGUUUGGGUUCUGAUAUCAUUGGCUGCUGAAUUUAAUAUUGAGACAAAGUGUAGUAGAGUAAAAGGCCUCCCAAAGCCACUUAUUCCACUCAUUCAGUCAAAAGAAAUUUACUAAAUGCUUUCCUUGUGAGCAACGCACUAAGCCAAGUUAUGGCACUUCACUCUGUCAGCUUUCAAACGCACCAUCCUAACACCAUCACCAUAAACAACAUCAUCACCAGAACCAUCAUCAUCACCAUCAUUAUCACCACUGUCAUAAUAACCAAUACCAUUCCCAUUACCCAACACCCCCAUCACCAUCACCAUUCCCAUCCCAGCACCUUCAUUAUCACCAUCCCCAUCCCCAUCUUAUCACCAUCAUCGUCACCAUCAUCAUCUCCAACACCAUCCCCAUCACUGACACUAUCAUAAUCACCAUAAUCAUCCCCAUUCCAACACUAUCAUCACCAUCAUCAAUACCAUCACCAACACUGCCCUCAUCUCAACACUAUCACUAUCCUAACCCCACCACUAUUCCAACUCAAUCACUAUCACCACCACCAACACCAUCCCCAUUCCAACACUAUCAUCACCAUCACUACCAUCACCAACACUGCCCUCAUCUCAACACUAUCACUAUCCUAACCCCACCACUAUUCCAACUCAAUCACUAUCACCACCACCAACACCAUCCCCAUUCCGACACUAUCAUCACCAUCACUACCAUCACCAACACUGUCCUCAUCUCAACACUAUCACUAUCCUAACCCCACCACUAUUCCAACUCGAUCACUAUCACCACCACCAACACCAUCCCCAUUCCAACACCAUCUUCAUCACCAACACUAUCAUCACCAUCACUAUCAUCAACACCAUCGUCAUUACCGUCACCAUCACCAUCACAAUCAUAUCAACACCAUCUCUGUCCAACACUACCAUCAUCACCAACGCCAUUCUCCUUUGGAACUCUAGGCUUUCUUCGUACAUUAGCUCAUUGAUUUUGGCCCUAUGUGGUAGAUAUUAUGGUCCUCAUUUGUUUUUGAUAGAAAUGGAGCCUCAGAACAGUGACAUUACUUGCCUGAGCCACAUGCUAAUAAAUGGCAAAACUAUAUCCAUUUUCUACUUCCUCAGAUUCUCAGUUUUCUGUGGGAUGUAUCAGGAGACCACACCACAUUAAUCAUGAAGAUAAAAA
rnacentral:lncRNA from 1 species